AUGAACGCUAGCUACAGGCUUAACACAUGCAAGUCGAGGGGCAGCAUGAACUUAGCUUGCUAAGUUUGAUGGCGACCGGCGCACGGGUGAGUAACACGUAUCCAACCUGCCGAUGACUCGGGGAUAGCCUUUCGAAAGAAAGAUUAAUACCCGAUGGCAUAGUUCUUCCGCAUGGUAGAACUAUUAAAGAAUUUCGGUCAUCGAUGGGGAUGCGUUCCAUUAGGUUGUUGGCGGGGUAACGGCCCACCAAGCCUUCGAUGGAUAGGGGUUCUGAGAGGAAGGUCCCCCACAUUGGAACUGAGACACGGUCCAAACUCCUACGGGAGGCAGCAGUGAGGAAUAUUGGUCAAUGGACGAGAGUCUGAACCAGCCAAGUAGCGUGAAGGAUGACUGCCCUAUGGGUUGUAAACUUCUUUUAUACGGGAAUAAAGUGAGGCACGUGUGCCUUUUUGUAUGUACCGUAUGAAUAAGGAUCGGCUAACUCCGUGCCAGCAGCCGCGGUAAUACGGAGGAUCCGAGCGUUAUCCGGAUUUAUUGGGUUUAAAGGGAGCGUAGGCGGACGCUUAAGUCAGUUGUGAAAGUUUGCGGCUCAACCGUAAAAUUGCAGUUGAUACUGGGUGUCUUGAGUACAGUAGAGGCAGGCGGAAUUCGUGGUGUAGCGGUGAAAUGCUUAGAUAUCACGAAGAACUCCGAUUGCGAAGGCAGCCUGCUGGACUGUAACUGACGCUGAUGCUCGAAAGUGUGGGUAUCAAACAGGAUUAGAUACCCUGGUAGUCCACGCAGUAAACGAUGAAUGCUGGUUGUUCGGGCCGACUGAGGCCUGAGUAACGUAGUGAAAACGUUAAGCAUUCCACCUGGGGAGUACGCCGGCAACGGUGAAACUCAAAGGAAUUGACGGGGGCCCGCACAAGCGGAGGAACAUGUGGUUUAAUUCGAUGAUACGCGAGGAACCUUACCCGGGCUUGAAUUGCAACUGAAUGAUGUGGAGACAUGUCAGCCGCAAGGCAGUUGUGAAGGUGCUGCAUGGUUGUCGUCAGCUCGUGCCGUGAGGUGUCGGCUUAAGUGCCAUAACGAGCGCAACCCUUAUCGAUAGUUACCAUCAGGUUAUGCUGGGGACUCUGUCGAGACUGCCGUCGUAAGAUGUGAGGAAGGUGGGGAUGACGUCAAAUCAGCACGGCCCUUACGUCCGGGGCUACACACGUGUUACAAUGGGGGGUACAGAAGGCAGCUACACGGCGACGUGAUGCUAAUCCCGAAAGCCUCUCUCAGUUCGGAUUGGAGUCUGCAACCCGACUCCAUGAAGCUGGAUUCGCUAGUAAUCGCGCAUCAGCCACGGCGCGGUGAAUACGUUCCCGGGCCUUGUACACACCGCCCGUCAAGCCAUGAAAGCCGGGGGUACCUGAAGUGCGUAACCGCAAGGAGCGCCCUAGGGUAAAACUGGUGAUUGGGGCU
rnacentral:rRNA from 1 species